UCCAGGCUUUUCAAAGCCUACCCAACUAGGUCAGCCCUUUUGCCAAAAAUCACUCCAUCUUUCCAUUCAUAUAUUGGCUUCUUGUGCCUGCCAAUGUAGCCAAAAUCCCACAACCCCUUCAGGACCCUACUGCUUCACCGCCUCAAUUUUCCUGUCCUAGUGAUCCUCUACCACCAUCCUUUUCAUUCCCCAUCACUUUUGAGCUUCCUCCACCUUUUUUUCUCCCCAGAUCACCUGACGCUUUCUAUUUGCCUCUUUAUAUUUUGGAUGACAACACGACACCAGCAUCAGAGAUAGGGGUGGUGCAAAAGCUAUGGGGUGUAUGUGUGUGUGUUCAUUUGAGACUCUCCAAGAAGCAACGGACUCUACCUAUGGUGAAGGCGGUGCUAAUUAUGAAGUGAUUAUAUCUUAUGGGGGCUGUUUUACCCAGACGUUGUUGUUGCUCAUGCUUCUUAUGCUUUUAAUAACUACUGGUUGAAUACCAAGAGAAAUGGAGGGACUUGCAAUUUGGAGGGAUUGCUAUGAUUAUCAACUCUGACCCAAGUUUUCUUCAAUGUUCGUUUGUUCUCAGUCGAACAAGAGAAUGAGUUUGUUUUUAGAAUAAAGCAUGAUUUUGUGGGAUCUGAUUUCAGGGUGAAUGUCUUUUGCUUUUCACCAUAGGGAGUGGAACGAAUGCAAGCAAAAACGGCUUAAAAUUAAUUGUCUUUUUAACUACUGUACCAGGGGGUUAUCCUAUCACAGAUUCGCAGGCCUUAGAAUUGUUCUUCAAAUAUGGCGAAUUUAAUCUCAACUCGAUUGUAACGAAUAUUGUUAUCAAUAUAAGGAGAUAUGAAUUUAAAUA